AAGCAGGGUAGGGUAAACUUUAUGUCUGCCCCAACUUCAACCUCUUUUGCUCCUCGGGAUUCCUUGCGUUUUAACACAGGAUCCAGGUUUAUAAACUUAUCGGAAGCUAGCCCAGAAUUAUCAUCCAGAUGUGAACAAGGAACCUUGUGCAGAAGAGAGAUUUAAGAUAAUGACUAUUGCAUUGCAUACAAGGAAUUGGGAUUGAAUAAGCAGGAAUAACCAUUUUACCGGAUUGAAUAAGUAGGGAAAUAACAUCUCCUUCUUCUCCAACGUCGCCCCUUUCAAAACCUUCUUCAAAAUUCCAGCUUAAUGGCGACUGUUUCAGUUUGAAUUCCCAUUCCUUUCAAUAUAAAAUCUGAUGUAGUUAACAAUUCACAAAAAUCAUACUAGUAUUAAGAAAUUUUUUUUGACUAAUAAAAAAAAAUUAUGUGUUUCGCGCAUGCCCACGACUUUCUAUUUUUACCGUAUAGUCCUAGUAGGAUGUCUCUGGCAGUUAAGUCUUAGACAUUGGAG